rnacentral:rRNA from 1 species
CCUACGGGAGGCAGCAGUGGGGAAUAUUGGACAAUGGGCGAAAGCCUGAUCCAGCAAUGCCGCGUGAGUGAUGAAGGCCUUCGGGUCGUAAAGCUCUUUUACCAGGGAUGAUAAUGACAGUACCUGGAGAAUAAGCUCCGGCUAACUCCGUGCCAGCAGCCGCGGUAAUACGGAGGGAGCUAGCGUUGUUCGGAAUUACUGGGCGUAAAGAGUACGUAGGCGGUUAUUCAAGUCAGAGGUGAAAGCCCGGGGCUCAACCCCGGAACUGCCUUUGAAACUAGAUAACUAGAGUCUUGGAGAGGUUAGUGGAAUUCCGAGUGUAGAGGUGAAAUUCGUAGAUAUUCGGAAGAACACCAGUGGCGAAGGCGACUAACUGGACAAGUACUGACGCUGAGGUACGAAAGCGUGGGGAGCAAACAGGAUUAGAUACCCUGGUAGUCCACGCCGUAAACGAUGAUAACUAGUUGUUCGGUCACUUGGUGACUGAGUGACGCAGCUAACGCAUUAAGUUAUCCGCCUGGGGAGUACGGUCGCAAGAUUAAAAACUCAAAAGAUAUACGGACGNGNGAGAGCGACGACGACGACGAGAGGAGGAG